rnacentral:lncRNA from 1 species
UGCAAGUUGCCAUUGUAUUUGCAAUUCGUAUCAAAGGCAAAUCUGCUCUGAACCUAUGGCAAAGUAGAAAAUAAUGAGGUACUUGGUACAGCCUAAAUGGUCAAUAAUCUGUUGUUUUACUUUGAAGAAAUAUUUUGAGGAAACCUUAUACUAUAGAUUAGCACCACACUGAAGUAAAAGCACUUAUACUGCACGAUUAGAUGAAAUCAAAUCAAUUAGAGAUCAAGUUGAUGCAAGCUACAAAGUGAUUAACAGGUUCAGUCUACAAAAAUUAUUAGGAAGCAGUUUUGAUUAUUGUUACCAUGUGAUCUAAUACUGUUAGGAAUGAAAGUCACAUCUCCAGUGUAAAACAGUGUUUUCUGCAGUAAAGAUAAAGCAAAUAGGAGGAGAAGUAAACUUGUACCAGUAAUGUCAAGCUUUGUUUACAACACCUUGAGCUUUUCUUACCUGAGUAGGGCGUGAUGAAGUUGCAGUACUUCUUGUCUUGCCGGGUCGGGGGAGACUCAUCAUAGGAGCCAGCAACUUCUAUAUCUAAGGAGUAUACAGUCAGCAACUUCUAUAUCUAUGGAGUAUACUGUCAUGAUUGAGUGCUAUGUUUAGAUUGUAGGCUGUUUUGCCAUAGUAUUAUUAUUACCCAUUAAAAUAAUUGGGACCAGAGGGACUUAUAAAGUUCACAUCAGCAAUUGGCAAUACAAAUCAAUCUUAGGUAGCUCUAGAGAGUACAGUCAAUUAAAAUCAAGAUGACAAAUUUCUACAGAUUAUAUAUACAUACAAAGAAGAAUAAAGUAACAUAGAAACUUAGAAAGACACUAACCUGUCAGGCAAGUCAACCUUCCAGUAUUUUAAAGUUGUAAGGGAAAAAUAAGCAUUGACAGGGCUGAAUUCCU